rfam:Ovis aries breed Texel chromosome 3, whole genome shotgun sequence.
UCCCUGGUGGUCCAGUGGCAAGGAUUCUGCACUACCAAUGCAGGGGCCCAGGUUGGAUUCCUGAUCAGGGAA